AAUUACAUCCAAUUAAUUAAAUUAAAUUGCAAUCCGAUUGCAAUUAUUCCUUCUUCUAACUACUAACUCUUAGCGGGUUAUCCAUUUAUCAAUCUAAUUGAUCAUAUGUGAUUCUUAAUCACAAUUCAACCAUCGGAUCAAUCAAUACUUCUAAUGUGUGUGACCUCAUAGGUUCUAUUCUGACUGGUAGUGAGAUAUAUUG
rnacentral:lncRNA from 1 species